AGAGUUUGAUCCUGGCUCAGAACGAACGCUGGCGGCAGGCUUAACACAUGCAAGUCGAGCGCCCCGCAAGGGGAGCGGCAGACGGGUGAGUAACGCGUGGGAAUCUACCGUGCCCUAAGGAAUAGCUCCGGGAAACUGGAAUUAAUACCUUAUACGCCCUUCGGGGGAAAGAUUUAUCGGGGUAUGAUGAGCCCGCGUUGGAUUAGCUAGUUGGUGGGGUAAAGGCCUACCAAGGCGACGAUCCAUAGCUGGUCUGAGAGGAUGAUCAGCCACAUUGGGACUGAGACACGGCCCAAACUCCUACGGGAGGCAGCAGUGGGGAAUAUUGGACAAUGGGCGCAAGCCUGAUCCAGCCAUGCCGCGUGAGUGAUGAAGGCCCUAGGGUUGUAAAGCUCUUUCACCGGUGAAGAUAAUGACGGUAACCGGAGAAGAAGCCCCGGCUAACUUCGUGCCAGCAGCCGCGGUA
rnacentral:rRNA from 1 species